rnacentral:misc_RNA from 1 species
AACCUAGCACACCUGCGGUGUGUACCUGCGGAAGGAUCAUUACUGAGUGCGGGCCCGCUCCGGGCCCAACCUCCCACCCGUGUCUCUUGCGUACUUUGUUGCUUUGGCGGGCCCACCGGGUCACUCCGGUCGCCGGGGGGCGCUAUGCUCCCGGGCCCGUGCCCGCCAGAGCACCCCUGUGAACCCUGAUGAAGAGAGGCUGUCUGAGUCCCACGAUAAUCGUUAAAACUUUUAACAAUG